UUAAACAACCUAUAUACUCCACACUUAACCAGCAUUUGAUAGAUUAUCCAACCCCGAGCAAUCUUAGUUAUUGGUGGGGGUUCGGUUCGUUAGCAGGUAUUUGUUUAGUCAUUCAGAUAGUGACUGGCGUUUUUUAGCUAUGCAUCACACACCUCAUGUGGAUCUAGCUUUCAACAGCGUAGAACACAUUAUGAGAGAUGUUGAAGGGGGCUGGUUGCUCCGUUAUAUGCAUGCUAAUGGGGCAGGUAUGUUUCUCAUUGUGGUUCACCUUCAUAUUUUUCGUGGUCUAUAUCAUGCGAGUUAUAGCAGUCCUAGGGAAUUUGUUCGGUGUCUCGGAGUUGUCAUAUUCCUAUUAAUGAUUGUGACAGCUUUUAUAGGAUACGUACCACCUUGGGGUCAGAUGAGCUUUUGGGGAGCAACAGUAAUUACAAGCUUAGCUAGCGCCAUACCAGUAGUAGGAGAUACCAUAGUGACUUGGCUUUGGGGUGGUUUCUCCGUGGACAAUGCCACCUUAAAUCGUUUUUUUAGUCUCCAUCAUUUACUCCCCCUUAUUUUAGUAGGCGCCAGUCUUCUUCAUCUGGCCGCAUUGCAUCAAUAUGGAUCAAAUAAUCCAUUGGGUGUACAUUCUGAGAUGGAUAAAAUUGCUUCUUACCCUUAUUUUUAUGUAAAGGAUCUUGUAGGUCGAGUAGUUUCUGCUAUCCUUUUUUCCAUUUGGAUUUUUUUUGCUCCUAAUGUUUUGGGGCAUCCCGACAAUUAUAUACCUGCUAAUCCGAUGCCCACCCUGCCUCAUAUUGUGCCGGAAUGGUAUUUCCUACCGAUCCAUGCCAUUCUUCACAGUAUACCUGACAAAGUGGGAGGUGUAGCCGCAAUAGCACCAGUUUUUAUAUCUCUCUUGGCUUUACCUUUUUUUUAAAGAAAUGUAUGUGCGUAGUUCAAGUUUUCGACCGAUUCACCAAGGAAUAUUUUGGUUGCUUUUGGCGGAUUGCUUACUACUAGGUUGGAUCGGAUGUCAACCUGUGGAGGCACCAUUUGUUACUAUUGGACAAAUUCCUUCUGUCUUUUUAUUCUUGUUCUUUGCCAUAACGCCCAUUCCGGGACGAGUUGGAAGAGGAAUUCCAAAAUAUUACACGGAUGAGACUCAUCGCACCAGAUCCUUUUCUCCUUUUGGCCAUAGCCAUAGAAGAAGCUGCUCCUCCGAAGCGGAGGGAGGGGAAUCUAUUGAUUCCUAUAACCCUGCUUAUAUAGCGUUUUUAAGACAACAUUUAGGGUUUUUCCCGGGUUUGGUACCAAAUCUGGAUAAACUCCUUUCGGUUCUUAAACCGGAGGAAAUUCUCUUUUUGGCUUUCCGCUUUCCGCGGGAUGCGAACAUGUUUAAAUUGCCCCUAAAGAAGAUCAAAGAUAUGAUUAAAGAAGUAAUGGCUAAAGAGGAGGAAAACAGAUACAAGCCUCUGGUGGAAGGUUGUGAAGACCUAAGUAUGACGGAGGAGGAAAACAGAUACAAGCCUCCGGUGGAAGGUUGUGAAGACCUAAGUAUGACGGAGGAGGAAAGGAAAAAAUUGCUGGAAGCAUUUUCUUUCCUAUGGGAUAAAAACAAUGAAUUGGAACUAUUGAGUGGUGUAGGUAUCCAUCUUAGCAAACAGAGAUACCGAGGCCCACCAACCUACUACUUGUUGGUUUGGUGGGGAAAGAGGAGUGGGUAUGAG
rnacentral:lncRNA from 1 species